GAAUUGGAGUAUGGCUAGUAACAGCUUGCCAAUGUCACAGCAAAUGUAUUUUAGUACACACAAUGCAUUAAGAGUAAAUGGAGAAAAUGACGUAAUUAGUACUUUAUUUUACGAAAUUAAUGGUAACAGACAUAUAAGUUUAUUGAUUUUCCCUUUUUAUGAUGUGCAAAUGUUAAAAAGGUUGCUAAUAAAAAAAUUAAAUUUACCAGGAACAGUAAAAGUAAAUGAUAUAAUAAUAUUUUACAAAGGUAUUAAAUUACCUAACUAUAGAAUAAUUAGCACAUAUUUAGAUAGUACAAAUAGAGGUGAAAAAAAAAAAAAAAAAAAAAUAAACAAAUUAUAUUGGGCUAUAAAAGAUAUAAACCCUAAUGCAUCAAUCCGAGUAGUAGAUAGUAAAGGGUAUCCACAAUUUUUUGAAAAUAUAUUGAAUGAUAUAAAAUUAGCAUUUAAAAAAAAUAUAUCACCGAAGUUAACAAUGGAUGGUACAGGUGGCACAUAUUUAUUAUUUAAUGCAAAAAAAAAAGUGUGUUCUGUUUUUAAACCUUUAGAUGAAGAAGCCUUUGCUCCAUUUAAUCCUCGUGGAUAUGAAGGAAAGAUGUAUCAAGAAGGAUUUAGAGCGGGAGUUUUAUCUGGAGAAGGUGCAAGUAGAGAAAUAGCAGCAUAUAUAUUAGAUAACACUUACAACAAUUUUAGUAGCGUCCCUUGUACUAUAAUGGUAGAAGCAUGUAACCCACAUUUUAAUAAUAAAAGUAAAUUAAAAUAUAUAUAUAAUGAAAAUACAUUGAAAUGGAAAUGUGGGUCUCUACAAGAAUUUAUAGACUCAAAAGAGAGUGUAGGUAAUUACGAUUGUAGACAGUUUAGUGUACGGGAUACACAUAAAAUAGGAAUACUUGACAUACGUGUUAUGAAUUUAGAUAGAAACGAUGGUAAUAUAUUGGUUUCACCUUUAAAAAAUAUUAAAGAUUCAUGUAAUCAGUUCUUUUAUAGAACUAAUAAAAGUUUUGGUAUAACUGAAGAAGAUAUUUUUAAGCGAAUAAUUACAAUUGAUAAAAAGCCGUCUCGGUAUAGUUUGAUACCUAUAGACCACGGGUUAAUACUGCCGCACAUUAUGAAUGUCUCUGAGAUAGAUUUGGUUUGGUUUGAUUGGCCCCAAACAAAAGUAAGUUAAAAUUCUGAUACAUUUUUUGGGGUCGUAGGCUCGACUCUGCUCAACUUUGCUCUGUUCAACUCGACUUAUAUCACUUUUACUAUUAUCUAUUAUUUCUUCUACUUCUUUUUUUUUCAAAAGGUACCAUUCGACAACGAAGAGCUGGAAGUCAUUUUUACUUUUGACCCUGAUAAAGAUGCAGAUAAAAUAAGAAACAAAUUAGUAAUAAGAGAAGAUUGCAUAAGAACAAUGAGAGUAUGUACUAGGCUGUUACAAAUAGGAGCUAGGAUGCAUUUAAAUCUACAUGAGAUAGCUAAAAUAAGUACACGACAAAAUUUUGAUAUAGAAUCUAUUUUGGAGAAUCUUGUUAGAGACUCAAUUGUACAGGUACGCGUUUUUUUUUUUUU
ensembl:lncRNA